CGGACGGGUGAGUAACACGUGGAUAACCUACCUAUAAGACUGGGAUAACUUCGGGAAACCGGAGCUAAUACCGGAUAAUAUAUUGAACCGCAUGGUUCAAUAGUGAAAGACGGUUUUGCUGUCACUUAUAGAUGGAUCCGCGCAGCAUUAGCUAGUUGGUAAGGUAACGGCUUACCAAGGCAACGAUGCGUAGCCGACCUGAGAGGGUGAUCGGCCACACUGGAACUGAGACACGGUCCAG
rnacentral:rRNA from 1 species